rnacentral:rRNA from 1 species
AUGUACAUUCCUACAACAAAGCAUUAAAACACUGGAUCUGAUUAGAACUCUGUAAUUAAGUGUGCUCUGAAUAGACUAGUAUUGGGAUGGGUGACCACUCAAGAAGUGUAACAUACCCA